UGCAGAAAUGGGGGUUGGCCUAUUCCAUGGCUUCUUGAGAAAAAUAAUGAGGGGUGUCACGGGGUAUGACUAUAUAGGUCUUGUAGAGGAGAAACAGGCGCAUCUUUUGCGCAAGGUAUCGAAGGGCGCUAAGUUCAAAAAUCUGAAACUAGAGCUCAAAAUUUGAAAAAAAAUUGUUUAAAACAGGGGGGUUGGCCUAUUCCAUGGUUUCUAGAGAAAAAUAAUGAGGGGUGUCACGGUGUAUGACUAUAUAGGUCUUGUAGAGGAGAAACAGGCGCAUCUUUUGCGCAAGGUAUCGAAGGGCGCUAUGUUCAAAAAUCUGAAACUAGAGCUCAAAACUUGAAAAAAACUGUUAAAAACAGGGGGGUUGGCCUAUUCCAUGGCUUCUAGAGAAAAAUAAUGAGGAGUGUCACGGGGUAUGACUAUAUAGGUCUUGUAGAGGAGAAACAGGCGCAUCUUUUUGCGCAAGGUAUCGAAGGGCGCUAUGUUCAAAAAUCUGAAACUAGAGCUCAAAAUUUGAAAAAAAAUUGUUAAAAACAGGGGGGUUGGCCUAUUCCAUGGUUUUUAGAGAAAAUAAUGAGGGGUGUCACGGGGUAUGUCUAUAUAGGUCUUGUAGAUGAGAAACAGGCGCAUCUUUUGCGCAAGGUAUCGAAGGGCGCUAUGUUCAAAAAUCUGAAACUAGAGCUCAAAAUUUGAAAAAAAAGUGUUAAAAACAGGGGGGUUGGGCUAUUCCAUAGCUUCUAGAGAAAAAUAAUGAGGGGUGUCACGGGGUAUGACUAUAUAGGUCUUGUAGAAGAGAAACAGGCGCAUCUUUUGCGCAAGGUAUCGAAGGGCGCUAUGUUCAAAAAUCUGAAACUAGAGCUCAAAAUUUGAAAAAAAAUUGUUAAAAACAGGGGGGUUGGCCUAUUCCAUGGCUUCUAGAGAAAAAUAAUGAGGGGUGUCACGGGAUAUGACUAUAUAGGUCUUGUAGAGGAGAAACAGGCGCAUCUCUUGCGCAAGGUAUCGAAAGGCGCUAUGUUCAAAAAUCUGAAACUAGAGCUCAAAAUUUGAAAAAAAUUGUUAAAAACAGGGGGGUUGGCCUAUUCCAUGGCUUCUAGAGAAAAAUAAUGAGGAGUUUCACGGGGUAUGACUAUAUAGGUCUUGUAGAGGAGAAACAGGCGCAUCUCUUGCGCAAGGUAUCAAAGGGCGCUAUGUUCAAAAAUCUGAAACUAGAGCUCAAAAUUUGAAAAAAAUUGUUAAAAACAGGGGGGUUGGCCUAUUCCAUGGUUUUUAGAGAAAAAUAAUGAGGGGUGUCACGGGGUAUGUCUAUAUAGGUCUUGUAGAGGAGAAACAGGCGCAUCUUUUGCGCAAGGUAUCGAAGGGCGCUAUAUUCAAAAAUCUGAAACUAGAGCUCAAAAUUUGAAAAAUAAAUUGUUAAAAACAGGGGGUUGGCCUAGUACAUGGCUUCCACAGAAAAAUAAUGAGGGGUGUCACGGGGUAUGACUAUAUAGGUCUUGUAGAGGAGAAACAGGCGCAUCUUUUGCGCAAGGUAUCGAAGGGCGCUAUGUUCAAAAAUCUGAAACUAGAGCUCAAAAUUUGAAAAAAAUUGUUAAAAACAGGGGGGUUGGCCUAUUCCAUGGUUUUUAGAGAAAAAUAAUGAGGGGUGUCACGGGGUAUGUCUAUAUAGGUCUUGUAGAGGAGAAACAGGCGCAUCUUUUGCGCAAGGUAUCGAAGGGCGCUAUGUUCAAAAAUCUGAAACUAGAGCUCAAAAUUUGAAAAAAAAUUGUUAAAAACAGGGGGGUUGGCCUAUUCCAUGGUUUCUAGAGAAACAUAAUGAGGGGUGUCACGGGGUAUGACUAUAUAGAUCUUGUAGAGGAGAAACAGGCGCAUCUUUUGCGCAAGGUAUCGAAGGGCGCUAUGUUAAAAAAAAUUGAAACUAGAGCUCAAAAUUAAAAAAAAAUGUUUAAAACAGGGGGUUGGCCUAUUCCAUGGCUUCUACAGAAAACUAAUGGUGGAUUGUAGUGUAAAAAGGGGGAUUCUGCCGCACUUGCCAUUUUUAAACACAAAUCUUGCAUAGGGACCCAAACCGCAAACAUAAAAUGCAAAUGCAUUGUGUUUCAACUAGUCUAAGGGUGGAAACAAGAAUAUGGCUUUUUGUAAACAAUAGUAGAGACACCUUAAAGGGAUGUAAUCCUAGGGGUAGAUACAAAAAUAUGGCUUUCGUACAAAAGAUGGAGGAACUCAGAAGUUCAAAAAUCGUAGACGACGAUUUUAUUAAUGAUAAUGUUUUCGAGGAAAAGGCAAAGGACCAGAGCCUGGAAACCCUAAAAUGGAAGGAAUUCCAAACCUGGGUAAAAUAUAAAAUCCUAGAAGUGGUAGAAGUAGAUGGGAAGUUUGGGAGGAGUAAGAUCCUCACCUUGAAAAACAAAGAAGGAGAAACGACAAGGGUAUGGGCCUGCAGUAGUCUGAACAGAGAGAAUGAACCCUUGGAAGGAGCCUCGAAAUCCACAGUUGAUCUUCGCUUUACUCUGAAUGGUUUUGUAUAGCUGCAUCUUGUUUUCGUCUAAAGGAGUGACGUGGGGGACGAACCAUGA